rnacentral:rRNA from 1 species
GCAAGUCGAGCGGUAGAGAGGUGCUUGCACCUCUUGAGAGCGGCGGACGGGUGAGUAAAGCCUAGGAAUCUGCCUGGUAGUGGGGGAUAACGCUCGGAAACGGACGCUAAUACCGCAUACGUCCUACGGGAGAAAGCAGGGGACCUUCGGGCCUUGCGCUAUCAGAUGAGCCUAGGUCGGAUUAGGUAGUUGGUGAGGUAAAGGCUCACCAAGCCUUCGAUCUGUAGCUGGUCUGAGAGGACGACCAGCCACACUGGGACUGAGACACGGCCCAGACUCCUACGGGAGGCAGCAGUGGGGAAUUUUGGACAAUGGGCGCAAGCCUGAUCCAGCCAUGCCGCGUGCAGGAUGAAGGCCUUCGGGUUGUAAACUGCUUUUGUACGGAACGAAACGGCCUUUUCUAAUAAAGAGGGCUAAUGACGGUACCGUAAGAAUAAGCACCGGCUAACUACGUGCCAGCAGCCGCGGUAAUACGUAGGGUGCAAGCGUUAAUCGGAAUUACUGGGCGUAAAGCGUGCGCAGGCGGUAAUGUAAGACAGUUGUGAAAUCCCCGGGCUCAACCUGGGAACUGCAUCUGUGACUGCAUUGCUGGAGUACGGCAGAGGGGGAUGGAAUUCCGCGU